rnacentral:ncRNA from 2 species
CAGUUAUCACGAAAGGCGGAGGGAAAGACCCAAUGAAACCUUAGCAACCCUUUAUCAUAAAGAAGGUGCUACAUUCUACUUAAUACCAACAAACACGGUAUUUAAGAUAGAUAACAC